AUGAACGCUGGCGGCGUGCCUAAUACCUGCAAGUCGAGCGAACGGACGAGAAGCUUGCUUCUCUGAUGUUAGCGGCGGACGGGUGAGUAACACGUGGAUAACCUACCUAUAAGACUGGGAUAACUUCGGGAAACCGGAGCUAAUACCGGAUGAUAUUUUGAACCGCAUGGUUCAAAAGUGAAAGACGGCCUUGCUGUCACUUAUAGAUGGAUCCGCGCCGCAUUAGCUAGUUGGUAAGGUAACGGCUUACCAAGGCAACGAUGCAUAGCCGACCUGAGAGGGUGAUCGGCCACACUGGAACUGAGACACGGUCCAGACUCCUACGGGAGGCAGCAGUAGGGAAUCUUCCGCAAUGGGCGAAAGCCUGACGGAGCAACGCCGCGUGAGUGAUGAAGGUCUUCGGAUCGUAAAACUCUGUUAUUAGGGAAGAACAUAUGUGUAAGUAACUGUGCACAUCUUGACGGUACCUAAUCAGAAAGCCACGGCUAACUACGUG
rnacentral:rRNA from 1 species